GAUGAAGAACGCAGCGAAAUGCGAUAAGUAAUGUGAAUUGCAGAAUUCAGUGAAUCAUCGAAUCUUUGAACGCAUCUUGCGCUCCUUGGUAUUCCUUGGAGCAUGCCUGUUUGAGUAUCAUGAGCAAAUCUCAAAGUCAAUUCCUUUUGUUGAUUCAAUUGGUUUUGCUUUGGACUUGGAGGCCUUGCAGAUUUCACAGUCUGCUCCUCUUAAAUGCAUUAGCUGGAUCUCAGUAAUUAUGCAUGGUUCCACUCGGCGUGAUAAGUAUCACUCGCUGAGGACACUGUUAAAAAGGUGGCCAGGAAAAUACUGAUUGAACCGCUUCUAACGGUCUAUUAAGUUAGACAAUUACCCUUAAGUUUGAUCUCAAAUCAGGUAGGACUACCCGCUGAACUUAAGCAUAUCAAUAAGCGGAGGA
rnacentral:misc_RNA from 1 species